GCGCGCGUAGCUCAGUUGGUAGAGCGGUCGACUUAUACUCGAUUGGUCGGGGGUUCAAGUCCCUCCGCGCGCACCC
rnacentral:tRNA from 3 species